rnacentral:rRNA from 1 species
UCAAGCUAGAAAGAGCGCAAGGGGAAUGCCUUGGCAUCAGGAGCCGAUGAAGGACGUGACAAGCUGCGAAAAGCUUCGGGGAGCUGCAAAUAAGCAUUGAUCCGGAGAUAUCCGAAUGGGGAAACCCGGUACGGCAAUACCGUAUCAACGUGCUAUGAAUCAAAUAGCAGUACGUAGGGAACCGCCUGAACUGAAACAUCUAAGUAGGGCGAGGAAAAGACAUCAACCGAGAUUCCGCAAGUAGUGGCGAGCGAACGCGGAGGAGGCCAAACCAGAGGUCAUUGAUCUCUGGGGUAUGGACUUGCAUCAUGAUCAGAGGUAUCUAGUCGAAUGGCGUGGGAAAGCCAACCACAGAGGGUGAGAGUCCCGUAGACGAAAGAGAAGACUGACAGCGAGUAUCCAGAGUACCGCCGGACACGUGAAACCCGGUGGGAACAUGGGAGGACCACCUUCCAAGCCUAAAUACUACCUGAUGACCGAUAGUGGAGCAGUACCGUGAGGGAAAGGUGAAAAGAACCCCGGGAGGGGAGUGAAAUAGUACCUGAAACCUUGUGCUUACAAGCAGUUACAGCCCGUUAAAGGGUGGUAGCGUACUUUUUGUAGAACGGUCCGGCGAGUUAUAGUCACUAGCGAGCUUAAGACAUUCAGUGUUGGAGGCGUAGGGAAACCGAGUCUGAACAGGGCGAAUGAAGUUAGUGGCCAUAGACCCGAAACCAUGUGACCUAGCCAUGAGCAGGAUGAAGUGGAGGUAAAGCUCCAUGGAGGUCCGAACGCACGUUCGUUGCAAUGACCGGCGAUGACUUGUGGCUAGCGGUGAAAUUCCAAUCGAACUUGGAGAUAGCUGGUUCUCCCCGAAAUAGCUUUAGGGCUAGCGUUGGGAAUGAGUUUAGCGGAGGUAAAGCACUGAAUGAGCUAGGGGGCGCAAGCUUACUGAACUCUAUCAAACUAAGAAUGCCGCAUAAAUGCUUCCCAGCAGUCAGACUGCGAGUAAUAAAAUCCGUGGUCAAAAGGGUAACAGCCCAGACCCACAGCUAAGGUCCCCAAUACAUGCUAAGUGGAAAACGAUGUGAGAUUGCAUAAACAACCAGGAUGUUGGCUUAGAGGCAGCCACUCGUUCAAAGAGUGCGUAAUAGCUCACUGGUCGAGUGAUCUUGCGCGGAAAAUUUAACGGGGCUAAGCAUGUAACCGAAGCUUGGGAUUGCGCAAUGCGCAGUGGUAGGGGAGCGUCGUGUACGGGGUGAAGUACGAUCGAGAGGACGUGUGGACUGUACACGAGUGAGAAUGCCGGAAUGAGUAGCGAGAAUUAUGUGGGAAUCAUAAUGGCCGAAAAUCUAAGGUUUCUUGGGGAAGGUUCGUCCGCCCAAGGUAAGCCGGGAGCUAAGGCGAGGCCGAAAGGCGUAGUCGAUGCACAUACGGUUGAAAUUCCGUAGCCACCUUAUCGAUCAAAGCUGACACAUGGAGAUAGCCGAACCCGGGCGUUGGUUGACCCGGGCGAAAGGGACCGAACUACAGUAGGGAAGUCGGCGAUGCUCUGUGGCGAGAAAAGCUGUGCGUAUUGAUUAGGCGCCCGUACCGCAAACCGACACAGGUAGAUGAGGAGAGAAUCCUAAGGCCAACGGGAGAAGGGUUGUUAAGGAACUCGGCAAAUUGACCCCGUAACUUCGGGAGAAGGGGUGCUCCAGAGAUGGAGCCGCAGAGAAUCGGCCCAAGCAACUGUUUACCAAAAACACAGGUUUGUGCUAAAUCGAAAGAUGACGUAUACGAGCUGACGCCUGCCCGGUGCUGGAAGGUUAAGAGGAGAUGUGCAAGCAUUGAAUCGAAGCCCCAGUGAACGGCGGCCGUAACUAUAACGGUCCUAAGGUAGCGAAAUUCCUUGUCAGGUAAG